rnacentral:rRNA from 1 species
UUGCUUCUUGGGUGACGAGUGGCGGACGGGUGAAUAAUGUCUGGGGAUCUGCCCGAUAGAGGGGGAUAACCACUGGAAACGGUGGCUAAUACCGCAUAACGUCACAAGACCAAAGAGGGGGACCUUCGGGCCUCUCACUAUCGGAUGAACCCAUAUGGGAUUAGCUAGUAGGGGGGGUAAUGGCCCACCUAGGCGACUAUCCCUAUCUGGUCUGAGAGGAUGACCAGCCACACUGGAACUGACACACGGUCCACACUCCUACGGGAGGCAGCAGUGGGGAAUAUUGCACAAUGGGCGCAAGCCUGAUGCACCCAUGCCGCGUGUAUGAAAAAGGCCUUCGGGUUGUAAAGUACUUUCAGCGGGGAGGAAGGCGACGGGGUUAAUAACCCUGUCUAUUGACGUUACCCGCA